UACGUAGGGGGGCAACGUUGUCCGGAAUCAUUGGGCGUAAAGAGCGUGUAGGCGGCCCGGUAAGUCCGCUGUGAAAGUCGGGGGGCUCAACCCUCGAAUGCCGGUGGAUACUGUCGGGCUAGAGUGCGGGAGAGGCGAGUGGAAUUCCUGGUGUAGCGGUGAAAUGCGCAGAUAUCAGGAGGAACACCGGUGGCGAAGGCGGGUCUCUGGGCAACAACUGACGCUGAGGAGCGAAAGCGUGGGGAGUGAACAGG
rnacentral:rRNA from 1 species